rnacentral:lncRNA from 1 species
UUCUGCUGGUUCACUCCCCAAAUGGCCGCAAUGGCUAGAGCUUGGCUGAUCUGAAACCAGGAGCCAGGAGUUUGUUCCAGGUCUCCCAUGCGGGUGCAGGGGCCCAAGCACUUGGGCCAUCUUCCACUGCUUUUCCAGGCCACAGCAGAGAGCUGGAUCAGAAGUGGAGCAGCCGGGACUCGAACCGGCGCCCGUAUGGGCUGCGGCUUUAACCUGCUGCAUCACAGCGCUGGCCCCUCCAGAAAUGCUCUUCUAACCCCUCCACUUCCGUCUUCCCACCCAUGUGUGGGUCGGACACGCCUUCUCCCUUGCCUGGUCUCUGUGCUCCACGCAGAAGCCACAGUGACGCUAACAGAGCCCCCCGCUGCGGCCCUGCCAAGUCCCCAGGCCCUGUGCACCCGCCCCCAGCUUCAGGCUGUGUCGUGCUCCCCUGCACUGGACUCUGCUGCCUCCGGGCCUUUGCACGCCCUGUGCCCUGCUCUCGGAGCGCCCUUCGCUCUCUCCCGCCCCUCAAACGUGGCUGCUGGGGACCCCCCCCCGCAUCUUGGCACAGCGUGUCAUUACUGCUGCUCAGGUCUGAGUGUCAGACCCGCCAGGACUGGACGCGGCCUGCCCGGCUCCCCGCCGCCCGGGGCUCAGGAGUUGUUAAGGGAACUGGGAGUGCGGGGGGUGGCUGGGACUCCGGGGUCCCCGGGCAAACGCUGAGCUGGAGGCUUAGCACACCUGGCUCCCUUCUCUUGGUCUCUACAGGCCCGACCCUGGGCCCCGGGGCCAUUGCUGGCGUCGUCCUGGGCACCCUGCUGGGCCUGGCCCUGCUGGCCGGGCUCCUCGUCCUGUGCGUCUGCUGCCUGCGCCGCUUCCGGGACAAGACGCCUCCGAAGCGGCCUCCCGCCCUGGCCCCCGUGGCCUCCCCGCCCGAGAAGACGCUCCCGAGUGUGGCCCCUGCGCAGCCCCCGCGGCCUCUGGGCUGCAGAGCCCCGCCCGCGGCCCCUGUCCCAGCCAUAGACCUUCCAGGCCCCGGGCCCCGGGCCAGUGCUCUCGCCCCGCGGAGGCCCGAGGACGGUGCGGACGGUGCGGACGGCCACGCAGGUGUGAGGCGGGCGACUUCCUGUUUCUCCCCGAGCCUGCGGGACCAGAGCUGGGACCCAGGAGCGAGACUCCGGCCCCUCCCCCCACGCCCACGGGAGACGGCCCAGCUGACGUGGGCGGGGCCGGGCCCUGCUGCCCGCAGCCAGGCAGGUGCCUGCGAGGGGGCUGGCGCGGCCUCGGACAAGUGCCCCCAGCCCGCCCCGCGCCUCCAUCUGCACAUCACCUCCGUCUUCUUCGGCAGCCCAGGUGGACCCAGACCUCCCAGGGUGCCGGUCAGAGCCUCCCCAGCCCCCGCCGAGCCUCCCCUGGACUGGGAGCCUUCUAGAACGUUCUCUGCCCUGCGUUGGCUUCUCAAGCCCAGCAUUGCCAUCACAGAAGACCCUGCCUCCCCCGUGGGCGUGUCAGGCCCCAGCGUGCCUGGCCCCCGCCUCCCGAGAGCUCCCGAGAGCACCCGACGGCUUGUGUCCCCAGCCUGAGCUUCAGGAAGGCAGAGGCCUGGAGCUGCCCCACCAUGAGCCGAGAGCCCGCGCCUGUUAGCCGGGCAAGGCCCGGGCGCCUGCUGCCCCCUGGCACCCGGCGGCCUCGUUUUUGCUUCUGGUUGGGUUUCUUUUCUUUCUUUCUUUUUUUUUUUUAAGCAUUUUUAACAUAUUUAUUUUCAUUACAUUAGAAAGGCAGGCAGAGAGGGAGAGAGACGGAACGUGGCAGAGGGAGCAGCCAGGGCCGGGGCAGGCCCACGGCCGGGGCCCGAGGACACGCGCCAGCGCCAGCGCCUCCGGGGCCGCACCUCAGCAGGAGGUGGGUGUGGAGCAGAGCCGGGACUUGAACCCAGGCGCUCUCGAACCCAAGUGGUGUCUUAGCCGCUGUACCCCAUGUCCGGCCCUCCGGGUGGGCUUCCCAUCCGGAAUGUAAGGUGCGGACCCGUGAGGAUUCUUUCACUUGCAAGUGAAACACAAGAACAGGACAGACAGGGUGCUCACGUCAGCUGGCCCAGCGGUGGCCUCAGCCGGGCCCGGCCCUGGAGCCGGAUCCGCCACCCUCACUGGGUUGGGACGUUUUCUUUGCGCAUGUGCCUCCUGUUACAAGACGGCUGCUGGAGUCCCACUCUCCGUCAUCACACCACGGCAUCCAGAGACACAGGGAGGGAACAGGGCUGCUUUCCAACACACACACACACACCCGUCUGUGCGUCUCCCUCUCUGGCCGUCGGGCAGGCUCGUCUUGUGAAAGUCGUCAGAACACACAGUCACGUUGUCAAGCCUUAACCAAAAUAAAGCCAGGAGUUGAUUAGAGCUGGGUGGGGGU